rnacentral:misc_RNA from 1 species
UGGAACGCUGUAGAUGCGCAUUAAGUGUCGUACUUCGUUUUGGUUCCGUUUUGGUUCCCCCUUUCUCUUUUCCAUUGUUGCCCACACCACGUGAAGUUCUUCACCGCUGCCACUCUCGUUUUCCAGCCCCCCUUUUCACUGCCUUCGGUGGGUAGCUCUGCAUCUCUAGCCCCUGGAAUUAUCAUCACUUCUCUUUUUUCACCUGGCAUCGGCCCCCUUCGGAGCACCGCACUCACACCCUCCCCCCUCCUCAUGCGCGGCGGUCGCGUGCGCUUCAACGCAUCAGUGGCUGGCGGGCUGUGGGCGGAUGGUGCGGCACAGGCAGACAUGGGGCCAGGAGCGGCGGCGGUGCGCCAUGCUACUAAUACACUGACGGGCACAGCGGCAAGAGGCACUUGGCGGCCGCUGCCCCACACGCGGAGAACAAGGCUGCUGAACUCAUGAGGCACACCUGGUUUCGCGCUAUGAUCUUGCACGCAGUGACCUGGCCACGCACAUCCCGCUCGCGCUGCAUGGGCUUCCCCCGCCGGGUGCCUACCGCUGCCCCCUGUGCUCCGUCGGAGCGACGUGCUGUGAGCUCUUUGUGCGCCGGCACAUGCUCACCGGCGGCCCUCUCCCCCGGCCACGACGCCGCGCUGAGGCGGGCCCCACAGCGCAGAACUGCGAGCGCGGUGCGCGGGCGCUGUGACGCACAGUCGGCACGCAGCGUACCGCACGCAGACAGUGCAUGGGGAGGCCGGAGGAGCAAGAGCGGUGGACGGGAACGGCGCGAAGCAUGCGGCACGCCCUCGAUGUGCCUGUGUGGGCUGAUGAGGCGCGGAUGCCGGAAGCGUGGCGAGGGCAUCCCGAGUUGCACCGUCGAGCCCUCCAGGCCCGAAUGUGGCGAGCCUGCGGGGAGCAGAUUAUGGGAUGCGGCUGCUCGAAGCGACCGAGGGCGCUGACCGGAAGGUGGCCGACUUCCUCCUCGGGCCUGUGCGGCAUGCGCCCUCGAUCGGGAGCCCGAAUGGUGGCCGCGUGGGUGAAGGCGUGCCGCCCACCCGCGUCUCCGUGUGGCGCCGCUGGCGCAGCGCGCACCCGGGGAAGGGGCGAGGAAGGCCAUGAGGAGGCCGCUGCGCGCGUGGCCCGAUUCGACGGCAGGCGGCUCGUCCGAGACGGCCGGGACGAAGCCGUGGCGCCGCUGGGGGCAGGUGCGCUGUGGCUGUGUAUGUGCGCUGAUGUGCUGACUUGUUCGUGGUGGAGUGUGCAGAUAGAAGGCGGAUGAAUAGUCUGUUCAUGCGUAGGCGGACACGGCAAAGUAUCGAUUUGCGCUUGUACCUUUUAUCUGCCGGCGAUGCGGCGAGGGGCGGCGUCUUUUUUAGGUCUCGUUUUGUUUCUGUUUUCUUUCGAGCUUUCUGUUUCUGCUGUGGCUGUGUCGCUGUUUUUUUGUGUUGCUUAUGGAUACAGAGGUACCCCUGCUCCCUUUCCUCCUCUCUCUUGUUUUAUCUCCGUAGCUCUCUGCGGUGUAACCUCCCCCGUUUCCCAUCUGGACAGCGUGGCACCUCGGCUCGCACCCCUUUUUUUGGCGAGGGGUGUGUGGCUGGGUGAAACGUUUCCUCUUGCUUUUGUUUGCUUUCUUGUUUUCAGGUGAACGGAAGAUGUUCGUGCCGGCUGUGGUUGGCUUACGUGAGACAAACACUAAGAAAAUGCCUAAGCAUCGAACGAAGCAGAGGACGACUCAAGGAAAGGGCACAACCGUUUUCGAGCUUGUCGUCGCCAUGGCGGUUUCCUUUCUACUUGUCUCUGUUCUUACCCCUCCCCCAUUUUCCCUCUCGCCCUUGUCCUUUUUCUUUUUUUUUUUAACCCUUACCCGUCUUCUACACCGCCUUUGUCAAUGCACAGGUGACGCUCUUGUCCCUCUUCCUCCUCCUUUCCCCUAGGGCGUCUUUAAACUUAUUUUCUUUCGCCUCUGUCUGUGUGUUUGCGUGCCCUUGUUUGGUUAACCGAUCUCGUUGCUUUCUUUGUGUUUCACCCUCUACCCCUCAUGACAGGGGGAGAGGAACAUCUCGGUGUGUGGCAUUUCAGAGUUUAUUAACUCCACUCUGUGAGGAAGCCAAGCAGCCCCCCUGCCCCUGUCCCUGCCAAGUGCAGAGCCACUUCCGGUGGUGACAGGGCCAGGCGCCGACGACGUGGAGAAGCCAGAGCGAUCUAUCGCCGCUGAUGUGGGCGGUCCGGUCCUGGGUGGCGUUGCGUCGGCGCUACUUGCGACGGUGAACGCGUUUCCAUCAUGUAUGUGAUGGGGCAGAGUGCCCGCGUGACUCGAGCGUGUAUCCCACCCGACCCUCCACUGCCUGCUGGUGGGGAGCCUGCGCCACCCCGAGGGACGCACCAGGUGGCCACCGGCGAGGCGGGCGGUGGGGGCGGGUAGAGUUGGAGGCGGAGGCCGUACUCGGAUGGAUGAGGGGCACUGCUGCAACGCGUGCUCACGGCUGCUUGGCGCCACGCGAUGAGGCCUGUGACAGGCCGGGUGGAGUGGUGUCUGAGUUCAUGUUGCGUGGCGGACUGGAGGCGUUGAUCAGGACAGGGAACGGACGACCGUUCGGGUGAGUGAGGUCAGACGAAGAGAAGGGGUAGCAAUGGCGUGUGAAAGCGUUCCCUCCUUCCCUUGUUCCGCAAGGGGAAACAACGAACCACGGCUGCCCAUGUCUCUCUAUGCCUAGGUGAGCUGGUAUGCGUGUCUAUGCAGACGCUGCUCAUCAGGCAUGUGCGUCUGUGUCACUCUCUGUGUGUGUAUGCGUCGGCUUGUGUCCAUCUUCCCUCUUCCCUUUUUGUGUCCCUUCUUGUUGCCCGUGCGCUGUUUUUAUGCCCCACUUCUUGUGUGUCGCCGCAACCUUUCUUUGCGCCUUCGUUUUUUAGUUUGUGUUUGUUGCAGUAUCUCUUCCUAUUCUCCGCCCCUCCACCCCCUUUUCGCCGAUUUGUUUUAUUCUUUGUUGUGACGUGCUUAAUGUAGCCGUCUUGAUGCUCGAUGCACGCUUUUUCCCCCCUUCUCCCUCUUUCUCUGUGUGGCCGUUCUCAUUUUCCUGUGUAGUAAAGAAACAUUUGCCUCUCUUGCUUGCGCGUAUCUCCUGCUGGUUUUCAUGAUCCUCGAGAUGGGGAAGGGAGGACCCUGAGGUGAUAAAAAUCAAAGGUGGGGGUGGUGGUGGACUUACACCUCCCUGUCCUUCGCUCGCCUUCCUCUUACACCUGAGGGCGGCGCAGGUAGGGUGGUGGUGGAGAGGGGGGGGGAGGCGAACAAACAAGAGGAACCGACACGCUUGUAUGUGGACAUGGUGCAAUUCCGAAGUCGGGAAUGCUUCUUUCGCCUUCUCCCCCUUUUGUUUUUGCACCCUUUUUUUUUCGCUGCUCGUGUGUAUUGCUGUUCAUGUUCUCCCGUUCGCUUGUCUACUAGGGAUGGGGUGGGGCAUCUUUCCCACCACACCCGCCCUUCUUCCUCUAAAGACGUGCAGACUUUCUUUGCGGCUCGCGGAGAUUCUCUCCCUCUCUUCCACUAUCUCCGCCUCCAUCGACAAGAGGAUUGCUCUGCAUCCUCUUUUCGUCGUCUCCUCGUACUUCCGUCGCCGUUUUUUUUUUUCGAUCUUGCCCUUCGCGCGCGCUGCAGUUGUACUCGUGGAGUCCAUGCCGUGCGGUUUCUUUGUGCUCUCAGUUGUGUGGCGGCGAGCCGAAGAAAAGCACUUAUAUACGUGUGCGCAUAGGCUUGUGUGUAUGGCCCCCCUCAAUCGGACUGCUGAUGUACGCAUACCUCUUGUGUGCGCUGCGCUCUUUUUUCUUUUUUUUUCCUCUCUGUGUAUUUAUGGUGUAUGUAUGUGUGCCAGGCACGUAUGUUCAUGGUCCACGGAUCGAUCGCGAAGAACGGCAAGAGGCGAAUACAGCGAGGCAGGUGUGCUGUGUGUGUGCGUACUGUGAACAUGUAGCGAUUCCCUUUGCGCUCCUUCGAGCUCAUCUGCACGCACGCACGCACACCGCACACCUGCCUUGCUGUAUUCACUUCUUGUGGCGUUUGUUUCUUUGUACUUGCUUUUUUUUGUUUCACCCUUUUUUCUUUUCUGUGUGCUCCUGCUGUCUGUUGUGACCGAUGCGCAUAUUCAGGCAUGCAAGUGAGUUGUGUGUGUGCGUUCUUCUUCGGACUUCACCUUACUUCCUCUUCUCUUCGUACCACCUGUAACGGAUGUGUAUUUCUAUGUCUGCGCGCCAGGCAUGCAGUCAUGUCUGUUCAUCUUCCUGCCUUUGUGUGCCUCUCUCUGUAUGUGUGUACGUAUGCGUGAGGCACUACCGCUUACUUUCUCGUUAGGGUUAUUUUUUCCCUUGAUGGUGUCGUGAUAGCAACCGCAUUGAGGUAGGCGAAU